CCUACGGGCGUCAGCAGUGAGGAAUAUUGGUCAAUGGACGAGAGUCUGAACCAGCCAAGUAGCGUGAAGGAUGACUGCCCUACGGGUUGUAAACUUCUUUUAUAUGGGAAUAAAAUGUUCCACGUGUGGGUUUUUGUAUGUACCAUAUGAAUAAGGAUCGGCUAACUCCGUGCCAGCCGCCGCGGUAAUACGGAGGAUCCGAGCGUUAUCCGGAUUUCUUGUGUUUAAAGGGAGCGUAGGUGGAUUGUUAAGUCAGUUGUGAAAGUUUGCGGCUCAACCGUAAAAUUGCAGUUGAAACUGGCAGUCUUGAGUACAGUAGAGGUGGGCGGAAUGCGUGGUGUAGAGGUGAAAUGCUGAGAGAUCACGAAGAACUCCGAUUGCGAAGGCAGUUCACUGGACUGCAACUGACACUGAGGCUCGAAAGUGUGGGUAUCAAACAGGAUUAGAUACCCGGGUAGUC
rnacentral:rRNA from 1 species